GAUCAUAUCUUUUUUCACCUCUCUAUGAUCGCGGCUG
rfam:Bacteroides sp. CAG:927 genomic scaffold, scf11